rnacentral:lncRNA from 1 species
CCUUCGUUGCUGCUAUGACUAUUGUUGAAUAUUUUCAUACUAUCUUAUGCAUAAUCGUGUAUGAUACUUUGGAUCCUUCCCGUUCUCUAUCACUAUCCUCACUGACCCAUGCCCUGUUCCCUCUUCAUCCAUGUCCAAUGGAGUUAACAACCAAAAAAAACUAACUCAACCUCUUUGAGUCAUUCAUGACGCCACCACCAUUGUUUUCAUAACAUUUCUUUUGGCCACCAUGUAACUAUCACUCUUCCCCCUCCAUUCCCAAUGAGACCAACAACCAUUCCACCAUCGUCGUAUGACCUGCAACCAAAGCAAAGCCAAAAUUUGAACCAGCCCCUGAAACGUAGAAAGAUGAAAAAAACAGAGCCCCAAUCACUAUUCUAUUCUCCUCCACCCUAAACGCCUAACGCCCA